GCUCUCCUCUUCUUCAGCUUUCAUAGCCUCAGGAACAUCCGGAUCUUCUGAACUCCGGGCUCCUCUCACGGUUUGGUGCACACACAGACACCUCUUCAAAGUUGAGGCUAUCAAACUGCCAGGAACCUGAUCAGGUGGUAAACGGUUAAUAGGCAGUGUUGUGAAAUUACUCUGUAUGGGAUCUGGAGUUUCAAAGAUUAUGUUUGAAAAGAGAUCAAGCAUGAGGUCAUGUAGCUGCUCUAAACUCAUUUCCUCCAAGACAGUGGUACGUUGACUUUAUACAGAAGGGAUAUGGAGGACGUCAUCCUUAAUGAGAAGGAAGAACAGCACCUUUGUAAGUCAUAGGUGGAGAAUGAAAUACUGAAAUCCUCAGCACCCCCAGAAAUGACCACGCAACACAAUUCCAGCCAAUGAGAUGCGGGUGUGAAAACGCUACGAAGACGUUCCAUCCCCACUGAAGAGGAGGAGACCUGUAAGGGGAGGUGUAAAAAAUAAGGAGGGAUCCCAUGACAAGCUGCAAGAAGAGCAUCCUAAGAGGAAGGAGUGGCAAGUGCAAAAGGCCCGGGGAGAGAAAGCAAUCACUGGUUUGAGGAUCUACAAGGUGAUGAUGGAGGGGAGCAAGGACGAGCGUGGCCAGGAGGCUCUCCCUUGAGAACCACAAGCUGUAACUAUAAGACCAACAACAUUUCAUUUCAUCUGGCGGAAGAAGAGCAGUGGGUUGAAUUAAGAGACUCUGAUGCUGAACGGGCAGACUCAGCCCCUGACUUCAGAAUGCUCCUCCUGGGAUUUUGAAAAUGAAUGAAAUGUACAAACCUAUAGAAAUUUGUAUCUGAGGCUCCAAGUCUUGCAUGUGGUAA